AGCAGCCGCGGUAAUUCCAGCUCCAAUAGCGUAUAUUAAAGUUGUUGCAGUUAAAAAGCUCGUAGUUGAAUUUCGAGAUCAAAUUGUUGGUCGUGCCUUGGUACGCACUGGCAUUAUUGGUUUCUCCCUUCUGACGAACCAUGAUGUCAUUAAUUUGGUGUCUUGGGGAAUCAGGACUGUUACUUUGAAAAAUUAGAGUGUUUAAAGCAGGCUCACGCUUGAAUACAUUAGCAUGGAAUAAUGAAAUAGGACGUUUGAUUCUAUUUUGUUGGUUUCUAGGAUCGACGUAAUGAUUAAUAGGGAUAGUUGGGGGCAUUAGUAUUCAAUUGUCAGAGGUGAAAUUCUUGGAUUUAUUGAAGACUAACUACUGCGAAAGCAUUUGCCAAGGAUGUUUUCAUUAAUCAAGAACGAAAGUUAGGGGAUCGAAGACGAUCAGAUACCGUCGUAGUC
rnacentral:rRNA from 1 species